rnacentral:rRNA from 1 species
GCCUACGGGGGGCAGCAGUGGGGAAUAUUGCACAAUGGGGGGAACCCUGAUGCAGCGACGCCGCGUGAGUGAAGAAGUAUUUCGGUACGUAAAGCUCUAUCAGCAGGGAAGAAAAAAGGACGGUACCUGAGUAAGAAGCCCCGGCUAACUACGUGCCAGCAGCCGCGGUAAUACGUAGGGGGCAAGCGUUAUCCGGAUUUACUGGGUGUAAAGGGAGCGUAGACGGUGCAGCAAGUCUGAUGUGAAAGGUCGGGGCCCAACCCCGGGACUGCAUUGGAAACUGUUGAACUGGAUUACAGGAGAGG